CUGCUGACUGGAGAGGUUCCUGUAAGGUGUCAGGAUGUGGCGGUCUAUUUCUCCAUGGAAGAGUGGGAGUAUGUAGAAGGACACAAGGAUCUGUACAAGGAGGCCAUGAUGGAGGCUCCCCGGCCUCUGACAUCACCAGAUGGAUCCAAGAAGAGAAAUCCCCCCGAGAGAUGUCCCCGUCCUCUGUAUUCCCA